GAUGAACGCUGGCGGCGUGCUUAAUACAUGCAAGUCGAACGGACAGGCCCUGCUUUUGUGGGGUGCUCGAGUGGCGAACGGGUGAGUAACACGUGAGUAUCCUGCCCUUGUCUUUGGGAUAAAUUUAGGAAACUGGGGCUCAUACCGGAUAGGAGCUCUUGCUGCAUGGUGGGGGUUGGAAAGUUUCGGCGGUUGGGGAUGGACUCGCGGCUUAUCCGCUUGUUGGUGGGGUAGUGGCUUACCAAGGCUUAGACGGGUAGCCGGCCUGAGAGGGUGACCGGCGACAUGGGGACUAAGGGACGCAGCAGACGCCAACGUGAGGCAACAGGGGAAAAUAUGACAGAGUAGGCGGGAGCCAGAGACGACGGCGCCGCGAGCGGAAUGACGGCCUUCUAGGGGUAAACCAAUUUCUCCUGAAACGAGGCGGGAGUGACGGUAAUGAGUAAGAAAGCACCGGCUAACUACGUG
rnacentral:rRNA from 1 species